GAUCAGCACCUUUGGUUAAUUAUUCAUAUAUAUAAUGAAAAGACUUAUUGUCUUUAUUCUCGUAAUCUAAUCUAUCAUAAAUCUACACGAGAUCUAAUAGUUAGUAGUUAUCAGUGCUAUACUGUUGAAUUCACACUAGACUGCCGUGUAUGUUUUAACACCUAUUUGAUAAUAUACCAAUGUCUCCAUGUUUAACAAUUGAAGAGGUUUGUGUAGAUACCAUGUCGGGUCUAUGCAUGAAUAUAACAGGAACCAUUCUGUUUUCCCUUGUACGUGAUCUCUUGAAAUAAAUCGGCAUCACGUCUUUUUACAUCUGUUUCACAGUAUAAUGAUUGUAUACUAAAGCCUCCCGUGGUGGGGUAUUGUGAAUCAAUGUCUUCGGCUUAAUGAUUAAUUAUCAUGUUGCCAAUAUUCUUAUUGUUUUUUAAACCAAUAUCUGGUUUGGAUUUAGAUAGUUUGUUUUUUUUUUUU